rnacentral:snRNA from 1 species
UUACCUUCCCUGCCCAGAAA